GACAGAGGAUGCAAGCGUUAUCCGGAAUGAUUGGGCGUAAAGCGUCUGUAGGUGGCUUUUUAAGUCCGCCGUCAAAUCCCAGGGCUCAACCCUGGACAGGCGGUGGAAACUACCAAGCCGGAGUACGGUAGGGGCAGAGGGAAUUUCCGGUGGAGCGGUGAAAUGCGUAGAGAUGUGGAGGAACACCGAUGGCGAAGGCAGCCCCCUGGGUCAAGAUUGACGCUCAUGCACGAAAGCGUGGGGAGCAAACAAGG
rnacentral:rRNA from 1 species